GACGUAGGGCGCGAGCGUUAAUCGGAAUUACUGGGCGUAAAGCGUGCGCAGGCGGUUCGUUGUGUCGGCGGUGAAAGCCCCGGGCUUAACCUGGGAACGGCCGUUGAAACUGGCGAACUGGAGUGUGGCAGAGGGGGGUGGAAUUCCGCGUGUAGCAGUGAAAUGCGUAGAGAUGCGGAGGAACACCGAUGGCGAAGGCAGCCCCCUGGGCUAACACUGACGCUCAGGCACGAAAGCGUGGGGAGCAAACAGG
rnacentral:rRNA from 1 species